AAACCACCAGGGAUUGCCUCAGUAACGGCGAGUGAAGCGGCAAAAGCUCAAAUUUGAAACCCUCGGGAUUGUAAUUUGAAGAUUUGGCAUUGGAGAAAGCUAACCCCAAGUUGCUUGGAAUAGUACGUCAUAGAGGGUGACAACCCCGUCUGGCUAACCGUUCUCCAUGUAUUGCCUUAUCAAAGAGUCGAGUUGUUUGGGAAUGCAGCUCAAAGUGGGUGGUAAACUCCAUCUAAAGCUAAAUACUGGUGAGAGACCGAUAGCGAACAAGUACUGUGAAGGAAAGGUGAAAAGAACUUUGAAAAGAGAGUGAAAUAGUAUGUGAAAUUGUUGAUAGGGAAGGAAAUGAGUGGAGAGUGGCCGAGGUUUCAGCCGCCCCUCGUGGGCGGUGUACUGCCGACGCCGAGUCAUCGAUAGCGAGACGAGGGUUACAAAUGGGAGCGCCUUCGGGCGUUCUCCCCUAACCCUCCACACUGCCACCGACGACAUAAUCCACCCAUUUCAC
rnacentral:rRNA from 1 species